rfam:Bombyx mori DNA, contig: Bm_scaf55_contig27619, strain: p50T/Dazao, build 2, whole genome shotgun sequence.
UUAACUUAAAUUAGUAUCGAGUUGGAACGUUUGCCUACGUUGCCGCUAGGGGCGCUGUUCCAAAUCCAUACAAAUUUGGGUUA